GUCAGAAAAGUUACCAUAGAAAAACUUUUUGAUCCUUUGGUGUCGGCUCUUACUAUCAUUGUGAAGUGCUGGGUCGUUCACCCAGUGAUAGGGAACAUGAGCUGGGUUUAAACCAUUGUGAGACAGGCU
rnacentral:ncRNA from 1 species